GAGAGAGAGAGAGAGAGAGAGAAUCCCAAACAGGCCCCACACUCAGCAUGAAACCCUACGAGGGCCUCAGUCCCAUGACUCUGGGAUCAUGACCUGAGCUGAAAUCAAGACUUGGACGCUUAACCGACUGAGCCACCCAGGCGCCCCUCAACUCACUUCUUAAGUGACAACUAUAUUGUAAGAGCAAUGUAGCAUUGUAGGAAGCAAUUCUGCAUUUUAACUGUUAUUCUACAUCUAUACCUGAAUGGAUCGGACAAUUAUUCAUGUCGUUUGGGCGAAAGAAUUGGUUAAAAAAAAAGAAAAUACAUCCCUGAAAUACCUCAUGUAAAGGAGAUAAUUUUAGGUGGGGGAAAAAAUCCAGCUAACAACUGAACUUGAAAAUUCCCAUUGUAGUUGUGCCAUGAAUUAUUCAGUCUGAUUCUGCCAGUGAGUUACUCCUGACAAUAACUUGGGCACUCUGGGAAGUACAUUAAUUCUUCCCAAACUCUCCUACAUUCUGGAGCGAACGACUGUCUCACUUCAUUGCUCUGCUGAACUCAAAGAGCGUCCUUCCAGGGUGCUCAACGCAAAUGUGGCCCUUUGAGUCCUUCACGCCUGCUCCUCCCAAAACACUGUCAGGCCAGGUUUAUGCAAUUUUGUGUUUGCAGGCCAUUUCCCUAAAUUUCUUUUUGUUUUGACUUUUUUUUUUAAGUUUAUUUAUUUAUUUGGAGAAAGAGAGAAUCCCAAGCAGUCUCUGCACUAUUAGCACAGGGCCCAACGUGGGGCUUGAUCUCAUGAACCAUGAGAUCACGGCCUGAGCCAAAAUCAAAAGUCAGAUGCCCAACCAACAGUCAUGCAGGUGCCCCACCCUAAACUUCUUAAUAUAAAAUUUCCAAACAAAUAGAAAAGUGGAAUAAAACAUGGGUAUCCAUAUACCUUCCAUCUUGAUUCAACAACAUUUAACAUUUUGCCAUAUCUGCUUCAUAUCUAUCCAGCCAAGUUAUUUCAAAGUAGAUUACAUCAUGAUCCCCACCUCUAAAUGCUUUCGCAUGCAUUUUCCCCAAUAAGGACAUUUUUUUUUUACAUAGCUAUAAUAUCAUUAUGACACCCAACAGAAUUAACACAUCACAUAAUAUGUCUAGUGCUCAUUCCAUAUUCAGAUCUCUCCAGUGAUCCCCAAAAUAUCUUCUAGAGCUUUUCCAACCAAAAUCCAGUCAAGAAUUAUGCAUUAUUUGGUUAGCUCCCUUAAAUCUCCUCUAAUCUAAUCCAGUCUUCUUGCCCUUGUUUUGGACCUUGCCUUGACCACAGUGAGGCUAGUUGUAGAAUAUCCCACAUUCUGGACUCUGCUGAUAUUUUCCUCAUCAUAGCGUGUAACUGGUUGUCUGUUCCUUGUCUUCUAAGAUGGAAUUUAGGUCUAAAAGCUUAAUUAGAAUCAGGGUAAUGAUUUUGGGCUAGUGUAUUUCACAGUUGUUAUGUGUUCAUAUUCAUUACUUUGGGAUCCACAUGUUUGUCGUGGUGUGGUGUUUAAUUACUGGGAUCACCUCGUGACCAUAGACAGCUCCAUUGUAAACAUCUCUUCACAAGUAGUAAGAAUUCUACGUACAAUACUUUGGCACCAGGUGAAUACCGUUUUCCCUAUCCCCUUUCAACUAGUGGCCUUAGCAUCUGCUAAUGAUCUUUGAAUUGGUUAUUUCACGAGAGUGGUGCAAAACAGUGAUUAAAAAUUUUUUUCAUUCAAAAUGUAUUAUUUGGCACUAUUAUGUAAAAUUGAGCUUUCCCUCAUUAAUUGGGGCUCUUUGGUUACCUUGAAUUACCAUUCCUAUUAACACAUCAUUUUGAGUGUGAAUUUGUGAACUCUUUAUAUGUUAACAUUUCAGGUUCCUAGAAUUGAGGGAAACAUCUAUUUGAUUUCCUAGGUAUAAAAAUUAGGAAAUGCCUGCACGUUGUUCUGGUUUAUCCAUUAAUAGAGAGUAACAGUGAAAGCAUCAUCACCAGAUAUUUCUCAUUCAUAAAAACACAGAAUUUCCAGUGCAUCUUCGCGUUCUUCUUACCUUCAUCGUGAAUCUCUGCCCUUUUAAAUUGAAAAAUGAAAAUACCCUUUCAGGGAGCAUAUGUGAAUCCUAACUUGGGGAGUGACCAGAUUUCUUUAAAGAUUCUGUCUUGCCUCUACCUGUUAUUCCUCCAGUCCUGAGCUGAGAAUCUAUAGUCCGAGAGUGCUUUACCAGCAGUAACAAUUACGUAUUUCUUUUUUGUAUUUGCUUUGUUCUUUAUCAGCCUCACUCUGUUGAAAUUCAUUUUACGUCAGAAACUUAGCCCCUCUCCCCCCCCCCCCCACCCCCCAGCCAUUCCCCCUCUCAAGGCCAACAUUUCUAUUUAAGGCACAGGGUCAAGGAAACUUUGAAAACUCUAGGAAAUUGGUUUUUUGCAUUUGAGAUAUUAAUAUAGGCUGUUGCUUCAGUCGUACUUACUAAGCGGUGGGCACUGGGUUCAGCAUUGUACAGAUACUAACUCUUUAGACUCUCACACAACCCUAUGAGGUAGGUACUAUUUUUUUUUUUAAUUUUUUAACGUUUAUUUAUUUUUGAGAGAGAGAGAGACAAAGAGACAAAGUGUGAUCAGGGGAGGGGCAGAGAGAGGAGAAGACACAGAAUGCAAAGCAGGCUCCAGGCUCUGAGCCAUCAGAGGGCUUUGACUCGGGGCUCCAACCCACAAACCGCAAGAUCAUGACCUAGAGCUGAAAUCGGACACUUAACCGACUGAGCCACCCAGGCGCCCGGUAGGUACUAUUUUUAUAUCCAUUUUAAGAUGAGGAGACUGAGGCACAGAGAUUGAGUAGCUUGCUUGAGGUCAGAAAGCUAGUGAAUGGUAGCAGUGGAUUUGGACCCAAACAGUGAGACUCCAGAGUCUGUACCUAAGGGACUUGUCUGAUGCCAGUAUAGUAACAGCAAGUCGACUGCCAGCUCAUGUCACGGUGAGAUUUCAGAACCUUGGGAACAGAGAGAGGAGCAUAAAAGUUUCCAGGGAGAAAAAAACAGGUUCCAUAUACAGGAUCAGUAAUAAGACUUCUCAUCAGCAAUGUGAGAUACUAAAGGAAAAUAGAGUAACUAACUAGAAUUUAAAUAAAAAUUUGGAAAAAAAUUAAAAAGUGUUUCUAAAAAAAAUAGAGCAAUGCCUUCAAACUUCUGAGGAAAAAUACUUUCCAGUGUAGGAGUUUAUAUCUUGAUCAAUUAAGUUAGAGGAUAGAAUAAAGAUGUUUUCAACACUAAAAGUGUUUAAAAGCCUACUUACCUUCCAUUGCACCCUUUAUCAGGAAAGUGCUGGAAGACCAAAGGGAGAGGGUAAACCAAACCAAAGGGCUACGUGGGAUUCAAGAAACAGAAGGAAGUCUCCAGGAUGAUGAGACCAGUCUCAGAGAAAUGUUGAUCCAGAGGGUAAUGAUAGUGAAGGCAUGAGACUUUCCCCUGGAGCCUAUGAAAUGCGUGAAGAUAUUGUGGAAGGAACUGAGGUUCUGUAUGCUGAGCUCUUCAAUCACAUGCACACACUUUAAAGAAAUAUCACGCCAGAGAGGAGGCAGUUCAUACAGGAAGAAAUCAGUUUACAUAGAGUGUAGAUGAGCGAAGGUGCUCCUCGGAGAAGAAGCACUGAAUAAAAGAUGGGGCACGCCAUCUCACUGCAGAGAAGGGAGAAAAUGACGAACCCUUUGGGACAGAAUGUACUCCUCUAGGGAAAAUGAUAAGUUAGCGAGUAGUAAACAGUAGCCUAGUUCCCUGAAAGAUGCUACAGAUGAGCAUUACCACUAACCAACCAUGAAGAAUUUCUUCUGGGAUUUUAAGAUUGGGUUUUUAUAUAGUUUGGUAUGAUUUAGUUAUCUCCCCCAGAAGGACAGUGUGCUUUAAUCAGACGAUUUUAUUCCCUCAUGGAAGACCCUAAAGCCAAGAUAAAGGUCUGUCCCAAAGCCUUGAUAAAAAUGCAGUAUUUCCUCAUAAACGGACCUGGGCAGUAUGUAGCAAGGGACUUAAAAAACAUCCUUAUCCUUUUACACAGUAAUCCUAAUUCCAGAAAUCUGCCCUAAGGAAAUAACCAAAUUUUGGUCAAAGAUUUUGAUUCAAGGAAGUUCAUUUCAGUGUUAUUUAUAAUAGAGAAAAAGUUGGGAGCAUCAUAUAUGCUCAAUAGGAAAGGAAUGAUUAACUAAAUUGUGGUAUAUUCACAUGUGGGAAUUUUGGACAGCCAUUACAAAAUCCAAUUUUCAAGAAUUAUUUAAUGACUUUGGAAAUGUUCUCACUCUAAUGGUAAGUAAUGAAAGCAGGACACUAGUGGGAAUACAAAAUGUACAACCUCUAUGGAGGGAAAUUUGGCAAUCUCUACUAUAAUUUCAUGCACAUUAACCCUUUGACCCAGCAAUUCUAUUUCCAGGAACCUAUCCCAAAGAUAUACUGGCAAAUACACAAAGUGGUAUAUGUGCACCAUUACUCACUGUAACAUUAUUCAUAAUAGCAAGAAUAGGAAUAACCCGAAUGCCCAUCGUCAGGUGAUUGGGGUAGAUUAUCAGAGGUACAGAAUGGAACGUACACAGCUAUAAAGGGAAUAAGGAAGAACUUUAUGUCCAGACUAUUUGGUUAAGAAAAAGAAAAUCAAGAUACAGACCAAUUUAUACGAUAUGCCACCUUUUGUGUGUGUAAACCAAAUUCACUUAUUUUAUGGUGUUAGAAAGAACAAACAAAAAACCUUAUGAGUUCACCUGUGGGGCAUGUGACAGUUGGUCUCUAUAUAAUGCCUGUCACUUACUUCUGUUGAGUGAGUCUCAACUGGGGAUAGUUUUGCCCCCCAGGGAACAUUUGGCAAUGUCUGAAGACAAAUUUGGGCUGUUACAAUGGGGAGUCAUGCUACCGGCAUCUAGUGAGGAAACCCCAGGGGUGCUGGGGGCCUCAUACAAUGCACAGGGCGGCGCCCUCAGCCAACAGUUACGUCAGUAACUGGCCCCAAAUGUCAAUAGUGCUGACGUUGAGACAUCCCAAAUUAGCACUUCCAUCCUGGGCCACGUGUGUACCAUUUUCCUCAUCAAAAUGUUGCUGUCCUGAGAGUAUUGGUAUUAUUACAGAGAAACUCUGUUACACACACAAAUACAAAAUAGAUCUAUCUACAUAUUAGGAUUAGGUGAAUAUUAAUUGUAUUAAUGUUAAGAACUAUGAUUUUCCCAAUUAGAGAAAAGCUAUGGCUAUAAAAUCAAAUAAUUUCACUAAAACUCUUGUAAUCUCACAUUUGAAUGAGCAAUACUGGUAUGGAUUCAUUAUUUGCCCCUUUUCAAACCUGUGUAUUUCCCUAGUUCUGCCCAGUCAAAAGGCCAAGAAGCAAUGAUAACCCAGUUAGCAAGGAGCACCCCUAAUUGUGAGGUUUCAGUCUCUAAAUAUUAUUUUUCCCAUUAAAGGAUAUGAUGAGCACAAUUCAGAAAAUUUAGACGUA